GAAAUGCGAAACUAAAUGUGAAUUGCAUCUCUAGCGAGUCAUCAUGUCUUUGAACGCACUUUGCACUAUAAGUUUACUUAUAGUAUAUUUGUUUGAGUUCUUUAUAAGAACAAUCUAUUAAAAAUUUAUUUUUAAUAGGAAUUGAAAGUGUCAAUAUUAGUAAAUAAAAUUGAACUUUUGAAAUUUUAAAUUUUUAUUUAAUAAAAUUUUAAACUAGAAAAAUAUUUAAAUUAUUAAAUAUUUCACUGGGGAAAAGUAAUAUAAAUUUAUAUUUAUAUUAUUUUUAACUAAAACUUUGGUGAUAUAUUUCGUUUUUUAUAUAAAUAUUUUUUUAAUAAAUUUAAAAUUUUAAUUUUAAAAAAAUAUGACUCAAAUCAAAUAAGGCUACCCACUGAACUUA
rnacentral:misc_RNA from 1 species